UGCAACGGGAUAAUGAUGAACACAUUAACGAAGUGGCUCGGUUAUUUACCGAGCGUGUGCCUGUGUCCAGGGGUUGCAAUUAAAAACGGUUCGCACUCACAAGCCUGAGUCCUAAUGACCUAACAUCUCAGACACCUACCAAAAAAAAAAGGCUCAUUAUCUGUUUAGUCGGCCGGGUGUGUUUGUCAUCAGUGGAGUGACUUGCUCUGAGUAAUGCCUCCUGUGGAAUAAAUACAGUCAACACUUAGUAACGAGAAAUAGAACAUGUUCUAUUUUACAUACUGGAGUUGAAAUUAUUACCUAAGUUUUACAUUUAACUAUAUGAAGAAUGUCACAAAAAUAUGCCCAUUCAGUUCCAUUUAUUAUGCUGCUUAUUAUGCUGCUUGAUGUAUAUUUUUGGGGGAAAAUUUCAUCCAAUAAGACGCGUGUAAAUAUCUUCCAUUCCCUCAUUUUGAUAUUUUUCAACUUCAAUUUACACUAUUUGUUUUUCUUUUUUUGUCGUUCUUCCGCUGGUUCUACCCUCAGCUCCUUUCUGAUAUCUUCUCUUUAUCAUUUGUCCAGUUGCCCUUCCCCAUUAAGAGCAGUUUUUGCCAAAGGCCAGGACCCUGUGUCCAUUGAUUGUGUUGAGGAUCAAGUCACAUCAUGGGUGACCUUUGAUCCCACGGUCCACUCUGGCUCUUGGCCUCAGUGUGCAGCUGUGGUCAGAGUUGGCAUUCCUCCCCUGUAUAGGUCAGAGCACCAUUAGCCUCCACUGUAAAGAAUGGACGACCGUUUGUGAAGGCUCACCAACUGACAGUGACAAUCUACAUGAGAAACAAGUUAACCGGACAAGUGUUGGCUGAGCCCCAAAACAGCUACUGAAGAGCAGCAGCCGAGACGGGGACUGAGAGCAGAGGAUCCUGACAUUUCAUACAUGAUUGCAGAGAUUUACGUGAGGGACACACACCAUGCUGGACUGUAUCCUGUGUGGACCUGGAAAUCAAAGAUUCUGAGGGCGGGUCUGGGAAACAUUCUCUGCACAUCAUUUGUAGGAACCAAAAAUCUGCUGUCGCGCAUUCAUCUUCAUAACCUGCUCAAUAAAAGAGAAUUUUGGUCUUCUGACUCUGAAAGCACUUUGGCGUCCCUGCCGCUCCUUGCUGCAUUCGAGCAACGCCGACACUUGAUGGGAGGUCAGAGUGCUGUGAUGGCAGUCGACCUCCAGUCCAACAGCCCCUCAGCUGGUUACUCACAUGCCCACAUUCAUCACUGACAGGAAAAUUGCCCCAGUCUGCCCUCCUCAGGUGAACAGGGUUUAGGGAUUCUGUCACUGCACCAAAGCAGAGUAGGUCAGAAACUGAGACACACACACACACAAACACACACACACACGCGCACACGCACACAC